GACAAAAUCUUUUCAGCUGCAGAAAUACAAUAUUUCAGGUCACAUUAAAACAUCGUACUAGUAUAUUAACGAAUGACCUUUGUGUCUAAAAGAAAGUACAUAUUUUAUUCAAUUUCACAAUACAUUAAAUUGGGAGCCAACUGUCAGCUUUUUAACUGUUUUAAAUUCAUCAUGGAAUGGUAAUUGCAAGAUGUUCUCACAAAAUAAAUGCAAAUCUUUUAAAAUUAUGUAUACAAGUCAUUACACUGGAAGUAAAUAAGAUAUUAUUAAAUUUGUCCCACUAAACCAGUACAAGUGUUACGAAGAUAAUAAAAUACAAUAAAUAUUAUGAGACAAAUUGACCUUUACAAUAUACAAAUUCCACAAUGGUGCAGAGUAAAAUCUUAAUUAUUUAUUGCUCAUGUAGGUUGGAUUAUACUACAUGGCCUACACCUCAACAGGAAAAGGAAGUGUAAACUGGCUGGGCUAAUAGCAGGAAAUAUAAGAUGGGGAGGGGGGGGGGGGGAGCACUGCCAUGAGUGGUAAUAUACCAGUGGUCAUAGGUGUUGGAGCAUUUUUAGGGUAGGUAGGACAGAAUGAAGUCAAGUUCUGAGAGAAAUAAAGAUUGAAGCAAACCUUCAGUUUGAGAAAGAAAUCAAACAGCAUAAUCCUGGCAUAUUGGUUCAGCGAACACAGCUGCUCUCAUCUAAAAUUAAAAAAUAAAGAACUAGUGGUUGCUCGUCAGUUACAUAGUUAUUCAAUUUAAUUUUCAGUGUAAAUUUCCCAACUAGGGUAUACAAAUGUUCUAAGACUGCCAUUGAUAAUAUCUUAAUAGACAAUUCUAGGCAACUAAGCCACAUUACAAAAUCAGUAGUGAAUGGGCUAUCUGACCAUGACAUGCAACACGUACCAUUAAAUUUUGAAAAUUGUCAGGGUAAAACAUCUAUCGAAUUGAGCCCAGAAGGCCAAUAAAACAGUCAAAAACUGAGAAAUUUAGGAGAUUACUCAAAGAAAUCAAUUGGAUUGAUGUUUACAGCAUCCAAGACACAAAUGGAAAAUACAAAACAUUCAUUAAUAAAGUUAGCACCUUAUUUGAAAACUGCUUUCCCCUGAAGGUAACUCAAAUUAAGCAGAAGUCUAAUAAGAAACCAUGGAUCACACAAGGGAUAAAGAUAUCAUGUAAGACAAAAAGGAAACUCUAUAUUAUAUGUAAGGACACCUUUGACACCUUAUAAGCUCAUUACCAAAACUACUGCAAAAUAUUGAAGAAGGUUAUCCAGAAAUCUAAACAACUGCAUUAUGAGUAUAAGAUAAAUACAUCCAGCAAUAAAAUAAAAACAAUAUGGGAUAUAGUUAAGUCAGAAACACGUAGGACCAGAAAUGAGGAGGAACAAAUAGCUCUAAAAAGAAAUGAAACCCUGGUAACAAACACAUGUUGUGUUGCAAACCAUUUAAACAAGUAUUUUGUCUCUGAUACUGACAGCAUGGGGUUGUCAGGUUCAGUAAAUAAUGCAAUGGAAUAUCUGAGACCAGCGCACACAAGCAAUCUCAGUAAAAUGGAAUCUGCAUUUACUUCACCUAAAGAAAUAGAAUCCAUCAUAAAGUCCUUGAAAUUAAAGCAAUCAAGUGGUUAUGAUAACAUAUCAACAAAGUUAAUAAAAGAGUGUUCAUGUGAGCCUAGUCAUAUCUUAGGCCUACAAUACAAGAGAGACUGAGGGGGCUUUUCCAUUGAAAGUUAUUCUAAAAACUUUAACAUGGAAGUACAAUGACAUUUGACAUGUGUAGACUUGAUGCUAACCAGAACUGAUAUAGAGCACACAUGAAGUAAAGAUGUAUUGAAAAAGUUGAGAAUUACUGCAUUAGUUGUUAGAGAUUUAGUUGGGUCUUACUUUCUUGGGAACUUGAUGGCUGUUUGCCCUUCUGUACACUACAUCUCACAGAUGCCAUUUCAUGUGUUGACCUGUGCAAAAUACGUCUCUG